rnacentral:rRNA from 1 species
UACGGAGGGUGCAAGCGUUAUCCGGAUUCACUGGGUUUAAAGGGUGCGUAGGUGGGUAAGUAAGUCAGUGGUGAAAUCUCCGGGCUUAACCCGGAAACUGCCAUUGAUACUAUUUGUCUUGAAUACUGUGGAGGUCAGCGGAAUAUGUCAUGUAGCGGUGAAAUGCUUAGAUAUGACAUAGAACACCAAUUGCGAAGGCAGCUUACUACGGAUCGAUUGACACUGAGGCACGAAAGCGUGGGGAUCAAACAGG